rnacentral:rRNA from 1 species
CCCCUUGACAUGCCACUAACGAAGCAGAGAUGCAUCAGGUGCCCGAAAGGGAAAGUGGACACAGGUGCUGCAUGGCUGUCGUCAGCUUGUGUCGUGAGAUGUUGGGUUAAGUCCCGCAACGAGCGCAACCCUUAUCUUUAGUUGCUACGCAAGGGCACUCUAGAGAGACUGCCGGUGACAAACCGGAGGAAGGUGGGGAUGACGUCAAGUCCUCAUGGCCCUUAUGGGUAGGGCUUCACACGUCAUACAAUGGUGCGUACAGAGGGUUGCCAACCCGCGAGGGGGGAGCUAAUCCCAGAAAACGCAUCGUAGUCCGGAUCGUAGUCUGCAACUCGACUACGUGAAGCUGGAAUCGCUAGUAAUCGCGGAUCAGCAUGCCGCGGUGAAUACGUUCCCGGGUCUUGUACACACCGCCCGUCACACCAUGGGAGUGGGUUUUGCCAGAAGUAGUUAGCCUAACCGCAAGGAGGGCGAUUACCACGGCAGGGUUCAUGACUGGGGUGAAGUCGUAACAAGGUAGGCGUAGCGAG